AACGUAGGAGGCGAGCGUUAUCCGGAUUUAUUGGGCGUAAAGCGCGCGCGGGCGGCGUCUCAAGUCGGAUGUGAAAUCUCCUGGCUUAACUGGGAGACUGCGUUCGAAACUAGGGCGCUUGAGGUCAGUAGGGGGGAGUGGAAUUCCAGGUGUAGUGGUAAAAUGCGUAGAUAUCUGGAGGAACACCAGUGGCGAAGGCGGCUCCCUGGACUGCACCUGACGCUGAGGCGCGAAAGCGUGGGGAGCGAACGGG
rnacentral:rRNA from 1 species